UCAGCACGCAGUUCCGCAGCCACGCUAGCGGUUUCUAGGUUGUCUGGUGGGUGGAGAAAAUUUGACGAUGAAGAACACGUUGAAAAAAAACGUCGCUUAGGAAAGCAGCAGCAGGCGCGACGAUUCCAGCAAUGCAAGAACUGUGAAACACCGCCUUCCCAGAAGUCAGAACCAACCUGGAUAGGCGAAAACGAACAGGUGGCUUUCAAGCGAGGCCUUGGCUGGCUGUGCUUAGUGACGGCUCCCGUGCAGGCGGCAUUGCAUCAACGCACCACCGGGUUUCACCGUUACAGCCGUACAAACUCCUAGACGACAGCUCCAACGUGAACGCGGUAGAAAACGAGCUAAGCAGGGAGAAGCGGACCAAUUGGCAACACCCGCACCACUCUUUGCAUUCGUCAGAUCAUACUUAAAGAAUUCCAGAAGGAAGCAGUUGAUGGAGCGGCGCCGCUGUAGCGGCAACGCUACAUAUGAAGUGAUGAAAGUAUGAAGCUAAACCAAAGAAGCUACGCAAGUCCUUGGUGCAUUAAGACACAGAGGUCUGAGAUCUGAGUAUUGUCAUGCUAUUUUAUUUUCUUUCCUCGCUUUUUAUUCUGAUGUGUUUUUUAUAUGUAACUUGGGUUCUGUGUCUACUUUUAUGUUGCCACUCUACUAAUUUGAUGUUCCGUAACUUUUAAUGUGCGUUCAUGCCUCUGUGUUUAUCUGCGUGG